GUACGCUGGCGGCACGCCUAACACAUGCAAGUCGAACGAAGUAGCAAUACUUAGUGGCAGACGGGUGAGUAACAUGUAGGUAUCUGCCCUUUGGCCUGGAAUAACACGAGGAAACUUGUGCUAAUACCGGAUAAGUCUUUACGGAGAAAGCUUUAUGCACCAUUGGAGGAGCCCGCACUUGAUUAGUUUGUUGGUAGGGUAAUGGCCUACCAAGACUAUGAUCAAUAGCUGAUUUGAGAGGAUGAUCAGCCACAUUGGGACUGAGACACGGCCCAAACUCCUACGGGAGGCAGCAGUGGGGAAUCUUGCACAAUGGAGGAAACUCUGAUGCAGCGAUGCCGCGUGAGUGAAGAAGGCCUUUGGGUUGUAAAGCUCUUUCGUCGGGGAAGAAAAUGACUGUACCCGAAUAAGAA
rnacentral:rRNA from 1 species